UGGGGGGUGGUGUAAGUGGCAGCACGAGGGGUUUUGGUCCCCUAAGUACGGGUUCGAGUCCUGUCCCCCCAG
rnacentral:tRNA from 1 species